rnacentral:lncRNA from 1 species
AUGAUGGGAAGUAAGCAUUUAACCGACAUAGACCAUGAGAGCUUGUCAUGGAAUCCGGUGUCAUGAGUCCCCACACCGAAAAGAGGUGGUCUACUUGCCUAAGGAAGACCGAUAUAUAGCUUAAUGGAUCCACUAGCUACCUAUGCGGGCACAUAGUUUAUGGGAUAAGGUAGACGAUCAUUGAAACUCAUGCCUAACUAUUGGGGGAGUUUCCAUCUAACCAAAUCCGCUCGGUGCUUAGCCUACAUUCCC